GAUUAUGGCUCAGGACGAACGCUGGCGGCGUGCCUAACACAUGCAAGUCGAGCGAGGAGAUCCUUCGGGAUGAUCCUAGCGGCGGACGGGUGAGUAACACGUGGGCAACCUGCCUCAUAGAGAGGAAUAGCCUUCCGAAAGGGAGAUUAAUACCUCAUAACAUUGCAGUUUCGCAUGGAACAGCAAUUAAAGGAGUAAUCCGCUAUGAGAUGGGCCCGCGGCGCAUUAGCUAGUUGGUGAGGUAACGGCUCACCAAGGCGACGAUGCGUAGCCGACCUGAGAGGGUGAUCGGCCACAUUGGGACUGAGACACGGCCCAGACUCCUACGGGAGGCAGCAGUGGGGAAUAUUGCACAAUGGGGGAAACCCUGAUGCAAGCAACGCCGCGUGAGUGAUGACGGCCUUCGGGUUGUAAAGCUCUGUCUUCAGGGACGAUAAUGACGGUACCUGAGGAGGAAGCCACGGCUAACUACGUGCCAGCCGCUGC
rnacentral:rRNA from 1 species